rnacentral:rRNA from 1 species
CCCUUCGGGGUGUAUUAAUGGCGAACGGGUGAGUAACACGUGGGCAAUCUGCCCUUCACUCUGGGACAAGCCCUGGAAACGGGGUCUAAUACCGGAUACGACACACGACCGCAUGGUCUGUGUGUGGAAAGCUCCGGCGGUGAAGGAUGAGCCCGCGGCCUAUCAGCUUGUUGGUGGGGUGAUGGCCUACCAAGGCGACGACGGGUAGCCGGCCUGAGAGGGCGACCGGCCACACUGGGACUGAGACACGGCCCAGACUCCUACGGGAGGCAGCAGUGGGGAAUAUUGCACAAUGGGCGAAAGCCUGAUGCAGCGACGCCGCGUGAGGGAUGACGGCCUUCGGGUUGUAAACCUCUUUCAGCAGGGAAGAAGCGAAAGUGACGGUACCUGCAGAAGAAGCGCCGGCUAACUACGUGCCAGCAGCCGCGGUAAUACGUAGGGCGCAAGCGUUGUCCGGAAUUAUUGGGCGUAAAGAGCUCGUAGGCGGCUUGUCACGUCGGAUGUGAAAGCCCGGGGCUUAACCCCGGGUCUGCAUUCGAUACGGGCAGGCUAGAGUUCGGUAGGGGAGAUCGGAAUUCCUGGUGUAGCGGUGAAAUGCNCAGAUAUCANGANGAACACCGGUGGCGAAGGCGGAUCUCUGGGCCGAUACUGACNCUGAGNANCNAAAGCGUGGGGAGNNANA